rnacentral:siRNA from 1 species
CGACUGGUCGAUGGGCCGUCACAC